rnacentral:tRNA from 1 species
GCGCCCGUAGCUCAAUUGGAUAGAGCAUCUGACUUCGGAUCAGAGGGCUGAGGGUUCAAGUCCUUCCGGGCGUACCA